rnacentral:tRNA from 1 species
GGGCGUGUAGCUCAGUGGUAGAGCGGGUGUCUUAUAAACACCAGGUCUCAGGUUCAAUCCCUGACACGCCCA